rnacentral:tRNA from 1 species
CCCUUUUGUAGUUUAAAAAACAUUAUAUUUUCAUUAUAAAAAUGAUUCUAUCCAAAAGU